rnacentral:rRNA from 1 species
CUCCAGACUCCUACGGGAGGCAGCAGUGGGGAAUAUUGCACAAUGGGGGAAACCCUGAUGCAGCGACGCCGCGUGAGUGAAGAAGUAUUUCGGUAUGUAAAGCUCUAUCAGCAGGAAAGAAAAUGACGGUACCUGACUAAGAAGCCCCGGCUAACUACGUGCCAGCAGCCGCGGUAAUACGUAGGGGGCAAGCGUUAUCCGGAUUUACUGGGUGUAAAGGGAGCGUAGACGGUGAAGCAAGUCUGAAGUGAAAGGCGGGGGCUCAACCCCCGGACUGCUUUGGAAACUGCCCGGCUAGAGUGCUGGAGAGGUAAGCGGAAUUCCUAGUGUAGCGGUGAAAUGCGUAGAUAUUAGGAGGAACACCAGUGGCGAAGGCGGCUUACUGGACAGUAACUGACGUUGAGGCUCGAAAGCGUGGGGAGCAAACAGGAUUAGAUACCCGAGUA